AACAGAGAUCUCUGGAGGUGAAACAUUGCUCUGAACUGGCAUUGAUUCUAGCCCAGCUCUUGUAGACCAAUUACCAACUUGCAAAGGGUUAUCAACUGUGCUGCACUCUGAGGAGCUUGACUGGUUUAAUCUCUAGAAAGGAAUUCACCACCCCACCAGCACGCGGAACACAAUCAGGAAGGAGUGGAAGAAGUCGUUCAUGUGCCACCGUGGGAGCGUACAGUCAUCAUUGAUCUUGCAGACACAUUCUUUGUAGCUCUUACCAAAGAGCUGCAUGCCGACCACAGCAAAAAUGAAGACGAUGAUGGCCAACACUAAGCCUUUAGACUAAAAAGAAAACAAAUAUUACAUACCCUGAAUCUGUGCUGAAACCACAAAGGAGAGCAUCUUUGGAUCCCUCCAAGUAAUAAAAGUAUUCUGUUGAAGAAGAAUUUGAACAGUUAUAACAUUACAGACUUUAAUCUGUGAUUGUGGUAAAGGAGGUCAAAUUAAAAAAUCUGAUUAUUGGGAGACUUUUGGAGUAAUCAUGGAAGAAAGACUAUGAAAUCAGAUAUUCUUGGAUUUGAAUGUUGCUUCUAUCCCUUCUUAAACAUUCCAUGCUGGAAAAAUCAGACCCCAGAGGUUUGCUGUUAUUGGAACACUGUGCUGCCUGAGAUUUUCAUAAAUUUGCCAUUUCAAAAAGCUGAAAGUACUUACGCAAAAACAAUGACGACAAAAUCCAGCCAGUUCCACGGGUCACGAAGAAAAGUGAAUUCUCC
rnacentral:lncRNA from 1 species